UUGAGACAUCCGUUCUCAUAUGAUCACUGAAGUUAAGCAACAUUGAGUCUAGUCAGUAUCUAGAUAGGUGACCACUUGGGAAUACCAAGUGCUGUAAG